UCUAGUCUGUUACCAUAACCUUCAUGUGCCUCAGUUGUACUUGGUACCACAUUUUAUAUUGUGUUAAAAGUGGUGUCAUGUACGAUUGUGGUUCUUGGAGAACUUUCUAGCAAGGCUGCC
rnacentral:precursor_RNA from 15 species